rnacentral:rRNA from 1 species
AGAGUUUUAUCCUGGCUCAGGAUGAACGCUGGCGGCGUGCUUAACACAUGCAAGUCGAACGAAGCACUUUAUUUGAUUUCCUUCGGGACUGAUUAUUUUGUGACUGAGUGGCGGACGGGUGAGUAACGCGUGGGUAACCUGCCUUGUACAGGGGGAUAACAGUUGGAAACGGCUGCUAAUACCGCAUAAGCGCACGGCAUCGCAUGAUGCAGUGUGAAAAACUCCGGUGGUAUAAGAUGGACCCGCGUUGGAUUAGCUAGUUGGUGAGGUAAUGGCCCACCAAGGCGACGAUCCAUAGCCGACCUGAGAGGGUGACCGGCCACAUUGGGACUGAGACACGGCCCAAACUCCUACGGGAGGCAGCAGUGGGGAAUAUUGCACAAUGGGCGAAAGCCUGAUGCAGCGACGCCGCGUGAGCGAAGAAGUAUUUCGGUAUGUAAAGCUCUAUCAGCAGGGAAGAUAAUGACGGUACCUGACUAAGAAGCACCGGCUAAAUACGUGCCAGCAGCCGCGGUAAUACGUAUGGUGCAAGCGUUAUCCGGAUUUACUGGGUGUAAAGGGAGCGCAGGCGGUGCGGCAAGUCUGAUGUGAAAGCCCGGGGCUCAACCCCGGUACUGCAUUGGAAACUGUCGUACUAGAGUGUCGGAGGGGUAAGCGGAAUUCCUAGUGUAGCGGUGAAAUGCGUAGAUAUUAGGAGGAACACCAGUGGCGAAGGCGGCUUACUGGACGAUAACUGACGCUGAGGCUCGAAAGCGUGGGGAGCAAACAGGAUUAGAUACCCUGGUAGUCCACGCCGUAAACGAUGA